GAUGAACGCUGGCGGUAUGCUUAACACAUGCAAGUCGAACGGACUCUUCGGAGUUAGUGGCGGACGGGUGAGUAACGCGUGAGAAUCUGGCUUUGGGUUCGGGACAACCACUGGAAACGGUGGCUAAUACCGGAUGUGCCGAGAGGUAAAAGAGAAAUUGCCUGAAGAUGAGCUCGCGUCUGAUUAGCUAGUUGGUGAGGUAAAGGCUCACCAAGGCAGCGAUCAGUAGCUGGUCUGAGAGGAUGACCAGCCACACUGGGACUGAGACACGGCCCAGACUCCUACGGGAGGCAGCAGUGGGGAAUUAUCCGCAAUGGGCGAAAGCCUGACGGAGCAAUACCGCGUGAGGGAAGAAGGCUCUUGGGUUGUAAACCCCUUUUCUUAGGGAAGAACAAAAUGACGGUACCUAAGGAAUCAGCAUCGGCUAACUCCGUG
rnacentral:rRNA from 1 species